UUCAAGAGGAAGAAGAGAAGAGAAGCUUGAAGCUAGAGAGAGAGAGAGCUCGAUUUUGGGGGAGAAAAAAAGAGCCCAAAAUGUUACCAAACAGCCCCAAAAUUUUAGCCGCACUACGAAAGCUUCUGAGGCAAGUUUAGACGAGUUUUGGUGAAUUUUGAGCAAGAUUUUUGGGAAGGCCAAGAUUUAAGUGGGAUUGACUAAGGAAGCGGACAAGAUACAGGUGUUAGAGAUCCUCAACAGGCGCAUCGUUGAAGAUCAUUUCUUUUCAGCUAUUUGGUGAGUCCUUCUUGUAUUCGAAGGAACUCCUUAUCCUUUUAUUAUUGUUGAGUGUGAUGUUUCUUUUGAGGUAGCCAUGGACAUGUCAUUGGCACCAUCUAAGAGUAUUAGAGGCUUCAUAGACAGAGUUUGAUGAUGUAAUCGGAGUAGUUCUCCUUAGAAACUACUUCUUCUAAGAAUUAUCUAUUUUUCCUUUGAUUAUGACAAGCUCACAUUAGUAUUAUUAAGUCUUCCGCUGAUGAACAAAUGAGUAAUGAGACCAAGUGGUUCUCUCGGAAGCCAGAGAUGGUUUCUGA